GCAGUAGCCACGGGAACACCAGCACCUCGAGUGGUCAGGAGGUUUAUUGGGCCUAAAGCAUCCGUAGCCGGUUGCAUAAGUUUUCGGUUAAAUCUAUGCGCUUAACGUAUAGGCCGCCGAAAAUACUGUGCAGCUAGGGAGUGGGAGAGGUACACGGUACUCGAUAGGAAGGGGUAAAAUCCUUUGAUCUAUUGAUGACCACCUGUGGCGAAGGCGGUGUACCAGAACACGUUCGACGGUGAGGGAUGAAAGCUGGGGGAGCAAACCGGAUUAGAUACCCGCGUAGUCCCUGUCUCUUAUAC
rnacentral:rRNA from 1 species